GAGCUAAAGGCAGACAGACAGGCAGGGCGGUUAGUGAGCUGUGAGCACCACCAGCAGCGGCUAUGAUAACAGCGCUGAAUGAGCGACAAACGGAGCACCGAUGAAGACGUGCAGGGAGAACAGGCAGACUGCUGUGUAGCGAGUGGUGGAGCAACAUCGCGCAACCAGUCGCGAGUAAGUAGCGGAUGAGCGAUCCACGAUUCUGCUUACCCGGCUAUUAUCGACGACUAGCGACAGAGCGUCGGUAGAAGUACUGGACUAAUAGAUAGAGUGCGGAACAAACGUUGUGCGCUGGUGGCGGAGAUUGGCGAUAUCUUUUGUGGCAACAAAACGCGCUGGUUCGACGCUGCGCCAGCAGAAUCGCUGGUUUGUCCCUACUUGUUAUUUUGGCGAUAGUGCUGACAGAACCGGAGAGCUCCGCGAUUGCUUCUGUUAUUGGGCUGUUCGGCGUAUUUGCUGAUCUCGUCUGCUAACUGGGCGGCGAGAAUCUUGGAAGAAGUACGCUGUUUACGAGUGCAACGAAGUUCAGGAGUGCAGUAAAUCAGGGGGUGCAAGAAAUCAGGAGUGCUGUGUAUUCUAUAAUUGACGAUAACAAUAAGUUCAACGCAAGAAAGCCUCGUUGGUUCCUAACGCUGUCAUAGCGUGUGCGUGUGUAUGUGUAUUUAUCAGUAUUCUAAAGUUCUGAAGAAGACUAGAAUUUAGUCGGGGCAAGCGUGCUCAAUUUAACAACGACACAUGGUACGAAAACGGUUAAAAGUUAAAGCGAGUUUGGUGCAGCCUUUACGAAUAGAAAAGCUAGAAGAUUAAUUCGAAGGCGAGUGCUUACAAUUUCGAGUAGAAAGUGUAACCAGCCAAUGAGGGCUGAUGUCCUACUGUAGUUGUGAAUCAUAAAAGUUACUAGCUCAACAUAUAUUCUUGUCAUUUCUUUAAUGAAGUGGUAACGGUUUUCGGCAUCAUUGUUGGCCUGUAUACAGUGCUGCUGAAGGCUUAACAGCAACCGCCCUCAUACCUCAACCGGUAGUUUAAGUAAUUGAAAAAACACUCUGUUAAGAGACGGUAAUCGGGGAAGCAUUCACGCAACGUUUUCCACUAUCAGCCAUUUAAUAGUACGCCCAAGCUGUUGGAUUGAAGUGAUUGAGAAGCCUGCUCCGGUGCGCAGAUUCCCUUUCCUACGUCCGAUCACCAAACCUCCAACAAAAUUUUGACUAGACAAGUAGAGGGUGGGGCGUCAACAGCUGACGUUCUACGUCGGCUUCUGGAUCUGAUGGACUACCUAGCACCGCGGUCCAUCAUGAUUCAGACGCAGUGCCUGCAGACGGCCACUAGCGGCACCAACAACAACAACAAUAAUAACAACAACCACACGUCGUCGAAAUCAUCGAAGAUCUCAUUUUCUGUGGCCUCGCUUUUGCGAGCAUCGUCGCCCGCCGUCAAAGACGAACGUCCAGCAUCGAGAGACUCCGCUGACCCCGAUCAUGAUCACCUACCACCACGUCCUGAUAGUCAAGAAUACAAAGACUACAAGGAACGGGACACGAGCCAAGAUGACGAGCCCGAACUUCACGUCGCCACUGACGACGACGAAGAUCACGGCUCGCCGUCACCGUCACCCUGUGAGAUGACCACCGACUCGAACGACCAUGUUGAUGACGCGCCGGCAACACCCAUCAACCUCUCAUCGAGUACCACGAACACAGUUACCCUGUUCGAAAACAGCCACGAGAGGCAAGCGGCAUUCUCGGUCGAUGGAUUGCUGCGAGCACCUCACAUUGGACAGAUCGCGCAGCUUGAUGCUGAGACCGCGGCAGCACUUCGUCUACCCGAGGGGUUUCCUGCAGCGAUGCUGCCGCCACAACUAGCACCUUGGGCGGCACAGGCGGCCGCCCUCACCGCGGGCACGUUUCCUUGGCUACCACAGAGACCUUUCUCACCGAAAAAUGGCGAGCUACCGAAGAUACCUCCACAGGCAAUGAAAUGCGCCUUGCGAAAGCACAAAAAUAACCGAAAACCUCGUACGCCAUUCACGACCCAACAGUUGUUGUCACUUGAGCGAAAAUUUCGGGCCAAGCAAUAUCUGUCAAUAGCGGAACGGGCCGAAUUCUCUUCGUCGCUCAACCUCACUGAGACCCAAGUGAAGAUUUGGUUCCAGAACCGACGUGCGAAGGAAAAACGGCUGAAAGAAGCCGAAAUCGAGAAGCUUCGGCUUGCCGCACGUCCAGCGCUCCUGCCAGCAGCCGCCGCCGCCUUCGCACUGGGCCUGUCAGGCACUCAACCUCCGCCGUUUAUCCCUGGAAUGUCGGCACAUAUUCCACCUCCACGACUUCUAUCAGGCCCAUUUAGUCAGGCCUCCACUCAGGCACAGGUUCAAGGCCAGGCUCAAUCCGCUGGACAGGCCAGCAACCCCAGUGGGGGUGCCUCUGUAGCUGCCACCCCAAUGAAGUUGUUGUCUGUCAAGUCGGACGGAGGUCCAGGAAGCAGGACACUAGCGAAGAAUGACGGCUCAAGUCGAUCUCCAUCGCCACCCACAAGCAGCACAUAGGGACACAGCAACGACGGUCGCGUCGCAAGUAGCUGAUAAAGAUGUGACACGUCCAUGAUGAUGCUGUUGAUUGGCGAAUAAGUGGUUGUUGAGAAAACAUCGGCACAUGCACGAAACGAAGACUGGAAAAUUCGUCUAUGCCGUCAUCUUUGUUAGCCCGUUUCACUUUGUGCUCCAUCGUGAUCGUCUUUACAAAGUUGGCACGUACGGUCUCUCUGGCGAGUGUCUAUGGUUAGCUACGAGGUGAACUUUCUUCGGCUUCGGAAGACAGGAAAAUAGGCAUAUGCAUUCGGUGGACGAACGUAUCUCAAAUUCACCGAAAAAGAAAAAAAAUACUAAUAGAAGCAUCGGUAGAGCCUAGCAUUUUCCUAUAGAUACGUGCGGACGGAAAAAUGAAGGUGACAAAGAACCAUCAGAUGAAAAUUCGGACCCUAAUAAUCUUCGACGCCAGCAGACAUCGACCAGCAAUGCAUUUGUGAGAGAUGAACGAAAAAAUAUUUGGGUUUCAUCGACACAACGGCUGAUAGGUGACGUACUAUUAUGAUACACAUACACGUGCUCUAAACCAACAGCCAACGACAAGAGACAGAAUAAUACGUUGAAAAAUCAACACAAAUUUACAAAUAAAGUGUGAACAAACAAGACGAUGG